rnacentral:rRNA from 1 species
GUUUGAUCCUGGCUCAGAGUGAACGCUGGCGGCAGGCCUAACACAUGCAAGUCGAGCGGCAGCGCGGUGGUAGCAAUACCAUUGGCGGCGAGCGGCGGACGGGUGAGGAACACAUCGAAAUCUACCCUGUCGUGGGGGACAACGUAGGGAAACUUACGCUAAUACCGCAUACGACCUUUGGGUGAAAGUGGGGGACUCGCAAGAGCCUCACGCGAUUGGAUGAGCCGAUGUCCGAUUAGCUAGUUGGCGGGGUAAUGGCCCACCAAGGCGACGAUCGGUAGCUGGUCUGAGAGGACGACCAGCCACACUGGAACUGAGACACGGUCCAGACUCCUACGGGAGGCAGCAGUGGGGAAUAUUGGACAAUGGGGGCAACCCUGAUCCAGCCAUGCCGCGUGGGUGAAGAAGGCCUUCGGGUUGUAAAGCCCUUUUGUACGGGAAGAAAAGCUUUCGGUGAAUAUCCGGGAGUCAUGACGGUACCGUAAGAAUAAGCACCGGCUAACUUCGUGCCAGCAGCCGCGGUAAUACGAAGGGUGCAAGCGUUACUCGGAAUUACUGGGCGUAAAGCGUGCGUAGGCGGUGAGUUAAGUCUGAUGUGAAAUCCCCGGGCUCAACCUGGGAAUGGCAUUGGAUACUGGCUCGCUAGAGUACGGUAGAGGGUGGUGGAAUUCCCGGUGUAGCAGUGAAAUGCGUAGAGAUCGGGAGGAACAUCUGUGGCGAAGGCGGCCACCUGGACCAGUACUGACGCUGAGGCACGAAAGCGUGGGGAGCAAACAGGAUUAGAUACCCUGGUAGUCCACGCCCUAAACGAUGCGAACUGGAUGUUGGGUGCAACUUGGCACUCAGUAUCGAAGCUAACGCGUUAAGUU